ensembl:lncRNA
GGCGAUGCCUGCAGCCGAGUGCUGGGCAGAUUCAUGCUCCAGUGCUUCAGGGCCCUGCGCGUGCUGUCUGACGGCUGCAGACGCUGCUGCGGGGUCACCGGGUAUGUCAGCCUCCUCGUCCGUUCCUGCACGCCUGGCCGGACCCACAGCCGGGUCCACUCCUCGUGUUCUCAGUCAAGCAGUGUCUGUUUGGCAGCCUGCCAUGUGACCUUGCUCUGAUAGCUUAGAACACGCUCUUGACAUCGGAUACCUCGACCCUGUCGGGAUCCUUUGGAGUCUGGCAAUGCUCCUGCGUCUGCGCCAUUUCGUGGCUGUUCAUGUGGGACUCGAGUGCAGUGGGCACUUGGCCGCUUUUCUUCCUUUUAAUGUGUGUUAUGUUGCUUUGAAAGUCUUUCAUAGAAGGCUAGCAGUCACAAUGAGGUGAAGGCAGCCCCCUCUCCCCAGGCGUUGCUGGAUCUGAUUAGUCCAUUAACGUACAUCUUCUUACGUAGCAGAUUACAGUGCCUGUAAUCGCCUCCUUCAAACACCUAAGCUCUUAAACCUCCUGCCUGCGAGCCCUGCCUUAACCAUGCGCUUCCAGACAUCAUGGACAGAAGCCAGCCAACAUGGAGGAGCUGACGGAGGUGGUCACAGUGGCAGAGCCCGACCCCCUCCAGUGUUGCCUGCUCAUCCACAGCGGAGGCCGACCCCCUCCAGUGCCGCAAGCCCAUCUACAGUGGAGCCUGAUCACUACCAGUGCUGCCUGCUACGUCCACGGCGGAGCCUGUCCCCCUCCAGGGCAGCGUGCUCGUCCGCGGCGGAGGCCGACCCCUUCCAGGGCAGCGUGCUCGUCCACGGCGGAGGCCGACCCCCUCCAGGGCAGCGUCUACAGCAGCAGCACAAGGCCGUCUGCCCCUGGGACACGCGGUCCCCCGCCCCCGCUGCCGGCACGCCAAGGGUUCAAAGUGGGUCAGAAAGCAGUGGCGACAGCUCGCAACGUCUACAGCGCGUUUGGGCCAGGAACGGCUAAUGAACAUACACUGCAGCAGGGGUUCGUUUGCAAAGGAGACGAGAGCCUUGAAUACGGAGUGCAGUGGCCAACCGUCAGAAGCUGACAAUGAGCAAUGGACGGCCAUCAUCCACGCUGAUCCGCUAACAACUACGUAAGAAUCUGCCACAGAACUCAAGCGCCAACUGUGCUACGGUCAUUUGGCAUUUGAAGCAAAUUGAAGAGGUAAAAAGGCUAAGUGGGUGCCUCGUGAGGUGACCAAACAAUUUUUUAUAAAUGGUCAUUCUUAAGCCUUGUCUGUCUUCUCUUACUGUAUGCAAAACCUAAGAACCACGUCUCAGUUGGAUUGUGACGGGCGGUGAAAAGCGGAUUUUAUUCAACUGGCAAUGACCAGCUCAGUGGCUGGACUGAGGAGAAGCUCCAGAGCACUUUCCAGAGUCACACUUGCACCAAAAAUAGGUCAGGUCACUGGUGGUCUGCUGCCCCUCUGAGCCACGACAGCUUUCAGAAUCCCAGUGAAACCAUUCCACCUGAGAAGCAGGCUCAGCAGACCUGUUGGAAAUACACCAACAACUGCAACACAAGCCACCGUCAGUCAACAGAAAGGGCCCAGGUCUCCCCAGCGACGCCCGACCACGUCUCACAAGCAGUGCUUCGGGAGCUGAGCGACUGGGCUGUGGAGUUUUGCCUCCCUCACCAUAUUCACCUGCCUCUCACCAACAGACUCUGCCUCUUCAAGCAGCUCAGCGACUUUCUGCAGAGAAAGCAUUUCCACAACCAGCGGGAGGCAGAAGCUAUUUUCCAAGCGUUCAUCAGAUCCCAAAACAUGUAUUUUUAUGCUACAGAAAUAUUAACUAUAACUAUUUAUUGCUCCUUGGAAGAAAAGCUAUGAUCAGCCUAGACAGCGUAUUCAAAAGCAGAGACGUUACUUUGCCGACAAAGGUCCAUCUGGUCAAGGCUAUGGAUUUUCCAGUAGUCAGGUAUGGAUGUGAGAGUUGGACCAUAAAGAAGGCUGAGUGCUGAAGAAUUGAUGCUUUUGAACCGUGCUGUUGGAGAAGAUUCUUGAGAGUCCCUCGGACUGCAAGGAGAUCAGUCCUAAGUGUUCAUUGGAAGGACUGAUGCUAAAGCUGAAACUCCAAUACUUUGGCCACCUGAACUGAGUGAUUGGAAAAGCUGGGAAAGACUGAAGGCAGGAGAAGGGGCUGACAGAGGAUGAGAUGGUUGGAUGGCAUCACUGACUUGAUGGACAUGAGUUUAAGCAAGCUCCAGGAGUUGGUGAUGGACAGGGAGGCCUGGCGUGCUGCAGUCCCUGGGGUUGCAAAGAGUGACUGAUAACGAUUUAAAAUUCAUGGUCUGAAAUCACAAUUACUUUUGCACCAACCUAAUACACUUACUUUAAAGGUAGUUCUUUUACUCUGUUGGUUGUGAUGCAGUUCACAAAUGUGAGAUAUUGAACAACUGUCUUAAGUCCUUAAGCAUUUCUGGAAAAAUGGGGUUGUAUAUAUUUGUUUCGCUAUUUUCGCCAAAAUUUUAAUAAAUUUCAAAUGUUUAGCUGGAUUUGUCCUGUGUAAUUGGACAGUUUUUUCCAUAUUUCCUUCGAGACAUAUUUCCCACCGAACAAGAAACCAGCCUUCUGCCUCUCAGAGGGCCCUGAGCUGGGGUGUGCAUGGCCAGGCAGGGGUCCCUGUUUGGGGCUGACGGCCCUCAGAAGUGCUCUUGAGGAGUAUGAGAUUUAAGAGAUGCCCAGGAAUUUCUCCAGGCUUCUUUGCCAGUUGACACUUUUGAUUCCAUACAAGCCUCUUCCCCUCCUGAUGACCUAAGAAUCCUGUGGUUCAUCGGACUUAAGUUCGCCUUAUUUUGGCUGCACUGGCCCUUAGCUGCUGCGUGUGAGCUUUGCCUACCUGUGCUGAGCACAGGCUCAGGAGUCAUGGCUCAUGGCCUUAGUCGCUCCACAGCACGUGGGGUCUUCCCAGACCCGGGACCGAACCCGUGGCCCCUGCACUGGCAGGCGGUUUUCAACCACUGGACCGGUAGGAACGCUCCCAUUUCAAUAGUGCGCUUCCCUUGUUAUCACCGACUUGAAUUAACGACUUUGGCCCUAAAUGGAGCAGCCCUGUGGGCCUGCGAGGAGGUUAUUCAGAGGGUCCCACCCCCUCUCCUGGCCACACGCCACCCGUGCAGACAGCCAGGCUCAUUCAUUUCUGGCAGAUUGAUCCCGAGUUUCUGGCGCAAAUGAGCAGAUGCGCAGCCUCUGGCUGCUUUCUGCACGUUGUUCAGCCGCUGUCACGUCUGACCCUGCGGCCCCAGGAAACUGCAGCGCGCCAGCCUUCACUCUCCUCAGCUGUCUCCCAGUUUGUCCACAUUCAUUUCCGUGGAAUCAGUGAUGCUG